rnacentral:rRNA from 1 species
GGUCAGCAUGUCUAGUAUAAGCAAUUAUACCGUGAAACUGCGNAAUGGCUCAUUAAAUCAGUUAUCGUUUAUUUGAUAGUACCUUACUACUUGGAUAACCGUGGUAAUUCUAGAGCUAAUACAUGCUGAAAACCCUGACUUCGGAAAGGGUGUAUUUAUUAGAUAAAAAACCAAUGCCCUUUGGGCUCUUUGGUGAUUCAUGAUAACUUAACGGAUCGCAUGGCCUUGCGCCGGCGACGGUUCAUUCAAAUUUCUGCCCUAUCAACUUUCGAUGGUAAGGUAUUGGCUUACCAUGGUUUCAACGGGUAACGGGGAAUUAGGGUUCGAUUCCGGAGAGGGAGCCUGAGAAACGGCUACCACAUCCAAGGAAGGCAGCAGGCGCGCAAAUUACCCAAUCCCGACACGGGGAGGUAGUGACAAUAAAUACUGAUACAGGGCUCUUUUGGGUCUUGUAAUCGGAAUGAGUACAAUUUAAACCUCUUAACGAGGAACAAUUGGAGGGCAAGUCUGGUGCCAGCAGCCGCGGUAAUUCCAGCUCCAAUAGCGUAUAUUAAAGUUGUUGCAGUUAAAAAGCUCGUAGUUGAAUCUUGGGCCUGGCUGGCCGGUCCGCCUCACCGCGUGUACUGGUCUGGCCGGGCCUUUCCUUCUGGAGAACCUCAUGCCCUUCAGUGGGUGUGUUGGGGAACCAGGACUUUUACUUUGAAAAAAUUAGAGUGUUCAAAGCAGGCCUUUGCUCGAAUACGUUAGCAUGGAAUAAUAGAAUAGGACGUGCGGUCCUAUUUUGUUGGUUUCUAGGACCGCCGUAAUGAUUAAUAGGGAUAGNUCGGGGGCAUCAGUAUUCAAUUGUCAGAGGUGAAAUUCUUGGAUUUAUUGAAGACUAACUACUGCGAAAGCAUUUGCCAAGGAUGUUUUCAUUAAUCAGUGAACGAAAGUUAGGGGAUCGAAGACGAUCAGAUACCGUCGUAGUCUUAACCGUAAACUAUGCCGACUAGGGAUCGGGCGAUGUUUCUAUCUUGACUCGCUCGGCACCUUACGAGAAAUCAAAGUUUU